rnacentral:rRNA from 1 species
UACACACCGCCCGUCACACCAUGGGAGUCGUUUGCUCCAGAAGUGCCUGAGCCAACCGCAAGGAGGCAGGUCCAAGAGUGAACGGUAACUGGGUG